UACGGGGGGGGCAAGCGUUGUUCGGAAUUACUGGGCGUAAAGGGCUCGUAGGUGGCCAACUAAGUCGGACGUGAAAUCCCUCAGCUUAACUGGGGAACUGCGUCCGAUACUGGAUGGCUCGAGUUUGGGAGAGGGAUGCGGAAUUCCAGGUGUAGCGGUGAAAUGCGUAGAUAUCAGGAGGAACACCGGUGGCGAAGGCGCCACUCUGGGCCGAAACUGACGCUGAGGAGCGAAAGCGUGGGUAGCAAACAGG
rnacentral:rRNA from 1 species